GAACAAGAAGUUCUUGGCCUCGUCGACGGGUAAGAGAUGCAAGAAGGAAUCCAUGUAAGAUUGUGGCUUGCAACUCGGACAAUAAUGGAGCCGCUAGAGAGAAUCGGACCUCUGCCUCCUCAGUUUCUCGUACCCAAACUUAUGCUAUUUUGAAGCAAUAGAUGGAAGUUGCGGCCAAAUCCAAGAAUUGCAAGGAAGCUGCCAGAAUUAGGGAUUCAUUGAGGUCAUUUGAGGAAGAAGAGCCCGUUUUGCGCCUUAGAAGAUUGAUGAAAGAGGCAAUUGCUGAUGAGAGGUUUGAGGUACAU